rnacentral:lncRNA from 1 species
CAAUCACUUAAUCUUGCAUUAGUUACUAGCUCAUCAAUGAAUCUCAAUUCAAUCUCUAGGCAUACAUGUUGUAAGCCACAUCACAAGAAAUAAUAACAUAAAUGCAUAAGAAUAAUCAUAUGGGCCCAUAACGAUAUUAGCCAACAUAGGCCAAUUUACAUAACUAAUACUACCUUAAUAACAAGCCAAUGCCUUUGGCUAAAUCAUAAUAUUACAUACUCACAUUAAAACCCUAUACAUGCCAUAGACUCAAAUCACUUGAGUUUACUUACUCCGAUAACGUUAACUCGAUAGGGUGAUUAUAUCUCUGACGGCCUCCAACCCGAGCUAACCUGGAAACUCUAAAAAACAUGGGAAAGAAGGGGGGUAAGCUUUCGCUAAGUAAGUUCAUAUGAAAACAAUAAGCAACUCAUUAACUUGUUUUAUCAAUGUUUACAACAUAUUCUCAAGUUCACUACAAGCUGUCUUCCGGAGCAACAGUUACUAUAUUAUUUAUAUCUGGAGCUACGAAACUACGAAUUAAGUUCGGUUAAUUUUUCCUGAAACUAGACUUAUUUUCCUUUCUUCCAUAAAAUUUCCAGAAUUUUUGGUUAAGCCAAAUAGUACAGUUUAUUAGUUAAACUCUCCCCUAUUUCAGGGUAUGACCACUCUGACCCCUGUACACUACAAACCAAAUUUAUCCCUGUAAAAAAUUCCAACGACCAUGUCGUUUAUUUCCCAUAAAAAUAGACUCAAUAAGGAAUCUAUGCAUGUAAGGUAUAACUCUUAAUAAUUUUUGUACAAUUUUUGGUGAAUUUCUAAAGUUAGAACAGGGGAUCUCUAAUUCAUUCAGACCCUGUUUCACAAGAAUUCAAAUAUCACACAAUAUGGAAUUCUUUUUCUUCCCUUGUUUCUUUCAUGUGAAAAUAGACUCAUUGAGCUUUAAUCCCAUAUUUUAUUCUGCCUCUAACUCAUUUUCCACUAUUUUUAGUGUAUUUUCAAAGUUACACUACUGCAGUAACUCAAAUCUGUCAAGGCUAAAUUACUCAUUCAUGAUCAUUGUUCACAAAAUUAAUACAACAUCGUUUGUAUAAUCAUCACCGAGACAUUCAUAUCAGAUUUUCAUUUACCAUCUUACCAUAUUGUUGUUAUGUCGAGUUUUCAACCCGAGGGUUAAGUACAUACCUGUUCAAAGUAUCCAUUUCACAAUAUUUACCAAUACGUCCUUUCAUCUCGAGUAUUCCUCCAUUUGAGUAGAAUUUUACCCGUUGAACACAUCGGAAUAUAAUUCGGAUACAUGGAAAGUUUGCACAUAAGUGCCACAUAUGUAGCCAAGCUACCAUGUAACCCGCCCAUAAGUGAACUCGGACUCAACUCAACGAGCUCAGGCGUUCGCAUCCAUAAGUGAACUCGGACUCAACUCAAUGAGCUCGGAUGCCUAGUUACAUCUCACGAACUCAGACUCAACUCAACGAGUUCGAACAUUCGCAUCCAUAAGUGAACUCGGACUCAACUCAACGAGUUCGGAUGCUCAACCAUCCUAGUGACAUGUCACUUGUAUCCUAAUCUAUUCCUAAGGUUCAAACGGGAUUUUCCUCGAACAUAUAUCCUUGCCAUCUUCCGUAAAAUACCGAAACCAAUACUCGGUAGCACUUUAUAUUUAACAGAUAAUACACAUAACUUGCAUUUUAUUCGAAAAUAACCACAAAGCAUAUAUUUCAUGAUAAAAAUCAGCAUAUCAUAUAUUUAACAUCAAUAACUUAAAAAUAACAAUUAUGCUACAUUAUUUACACAUAAACUUACCUCGAUACCACAAAGGUGAAAAGACAUACUCGUCCAUAAAUCGAUUUCUUUCCGUUCUAGGUCCAAAUCUCAAUUUUCAUCAUCUAUAACAUCACAUUUAGCCUACCAAUCAGUCACAAUAUUCAUAUGGAUCAAAAAAUCAUAUUUUUACAAAUUUUCAUUUUGACCCCUAAACUUUUGCAUAUUUGCACUUUUGCCUCAAUGCUCGUAAAUUAAUUUUUAUCACAUUUCUUUACUCCUUGAGUCUAUAUGAACCAUUUUCAUAACUAUAGCAACUCAUAAUUUCAACUAUUUUACACAUUUACAACUCAUUUUACAACUUAGCAAUUUACCCCUUUUUUAAGGUAUUUUCAUGCAAUUUCUUUCACAAAAGUUGUUUAUUAGACAACUAGGACUCAUAAUCUUCCAUAAAAACACAGCAAACAACACAUUUACUCUCAUGGUAAAACCCUAGACUCUUCAUCAUUUUGCAAAAUAAUCCCCUCUUAUGAAAGCUUAUGCUUUAGGGGUUCCAAAAAUACAAAAAUCAUCAAGCAAAGACAUUAAAAUCACUUACAAGCAAGGGAAAUAUGUUGCUGAAAUUUUCCAAUUUCAAAACCCUUUCUUUGCUGCAUAUUUCGGUGAAGGGGAAGAGAAAAAUGAUAGCUUUUUCUUUUUUUUUUUUUUGUUAAUAAUAAAACUAUUUUGUCUAAUUUUGACUUUUCAACUAUUUUGUCUCCCAUGGCCGGCCAUCACACUUUCAAUGGCCAAAUUUCACUUUAAAGACCCCAAAUUUAAGAUACAAGGCAAUUUAACACCUUUAGGUAUUAAAACACAACUUUUACUUUUUACGCGAUUUAGUCCUUUUUCGAAAUUGGACUAGAAAUCGCUAAAAUUACUAUACCAAAAUUAACAUGCACUUAUAAAAUCAUAUUAUAACACAUAAAAUAAUACUAAAAUAAUUUUCUCUGGCCUCGGAAUAGUGGUCCCGAAACCAUUGUUCCGAUUAGAACCAAAAUCGGGCUGUUACAUUUCUUCCCCCUUUAGGUAUUUUCAUCCCCGAAAAUCUUACCAGAAAAAGUUGUUCUCUACUUUCACGAGUCACUUAUAUCGUUUUCUCACAACUUACAAAACAACUCCGCACAAGCUCAUACUCAAGAUUUCCUAUAGCUUUUCCAUAGUUGAGGUAUAAACCUCGAAGCUCAAUUUGAAACACUGGAGACUGACAUUCUUGGAACUAUAAACUCAGAAACAUACAACUCAGUCACAUCUGUUGAAUAAUAUAUCUGUACAUACUAAAAUAAUCAUGCAGACUUCCAUCAUCAAUCUUUCACAAUUCAACUUGCAUCUCUCCUUUUUCCUGGAAAUAAGAGACAUCCCGAUACGAAAUUCAUAACAGUCCUUUCUCAUUUUCUUCCCACUGUCAUCACUGACAAUAAUAAUCUCGAAUACAUUUGAUAUUCGGCUUUACCCUAUAGACAAUUCGACAUCCUUUGAACGAAUAAACAAGAUACUGCUGUGAACUCUGUACUCAAUUCUCUGUAUACCCAGAGUUUCUCAGUACUGAAAUCUUACUCUGAAUUAAUAGUAAUAGAAACCAGAAAUCAAAUCCUCCCUGCAAUUCCAAAUUAAAAGUCGAAUCGUGUUGUACUUGUUUAAUUUACCACUUAUAGCCACAUUUUUAUACUCUGAUCAUCAACUGUUUAGAAACUUUACUAACAUGAAUCAAAUGAUUCCAACUUCAUAGAUGUGGUAUUUUUAUUAAUCAGUAUAACUAUACUUAUAACAUCUCUCGAACAAGAGAAAUCCAACUAAUAUGUUUCCAUAACAUACUUUCAAGAAUAAAACCCCAUCAUUUCUGACUGUACGACUACUUACCAAAGAACACGUAACGGUAUUCUCGAACCAGAGAAUAAACUUAAAUGCACAUAACUCAGAUUUACUUUUGUAGAAUAACCAUUCUUUACCCCAGAAGUUUUAAAGAAAUCUCGACACUGAAAUCCCCACACUUCUAUGGUCGAGCCAGAAGCUUAAUCAUAACAGAUUCUAAUAUCGCAAGUCAAAGAUUACUCGUAAAGAUAAGCCAAGCUUGAUAAUUCUCGAAAAAAGAACGAGAGAAAAGCCAAUAUAAGAAAUUCCAAGAUAUAAAGACUACACCAGAAAUCCGAGAAUAUAAUCCAGAAAGAAAAUAAUAAAUAUGAUCCGAAAAAUCCCUCAGAGAAAACCAGAAGGAAACUACUGUCUGUACGCUUUAGAAUUUCUCAUAAUAGAGAUAAUAUAAUUCUCACAUAUAUAAACCAUAAUCAAUAGAAUAUCAGAAUAAUCUCACAUAGAUUUUUUUUUUACUAUCAACUUCAUUCCAAUAUAUCAGAAUAGAAAUCUGAAGAGAUGGGGAAAAUGUCAAUUAUAACUAACUGGACCAAUAGAGCUUUUCAUCUAAUAUCACAGUCACUAGCAUCCUCGUAUGAUAGAAUUUCCAUUCAAAAGGGAUAACCAUACGUAUUCCCCAGAAUUGAGGAAAACAUAGAAUACUCAGAAGAGAAAGAUAGCCAUCACUUUUAUUUGAUUGAAUCCGACAUACUCAAACAUCAGUGCAAAUCCGACAUUAUUCUUCUAACUAAUUCUGUCUUCACUAAUCCCAUACUAUUCCAUUAUUUUACUUUUUAGUUUCACGUUUGCAAGCUUAUGCAACAUAUCUCUCGAAAAUCUCAUCGUAUAACUCUAUUCUGGUAAGGGCGCGAAGAUUGUAAAGCCUCUAAACUUUUGACUCUCAAGAAAAUACAUAUUCAACAACAAUAUAGCUUUACGCAUAUUGAUUCAAACAUUUCAAAUUUCCAACUUGUUAUGAACACAUUUUCACAUAUCUCAGUAAUACAUGCAACUUUAUUUCGUGCGAAUAUUAGCUAAACAUAAGUGAAUUUAUCAUAACUCAAACUUUCAUUUCUUUUUUUCAAAUUACCCUUAAUGUUUUAUCAAAUUCCCAUAUUUAGUCUUAAUCACUUGCCAAUAUUUAUCAAAUUGGAGAACGUCUUAUGGUUUUGAGUACAUCGUUUACUUGAUGCCAUAGUUCAACUAUGGUUUUGUACUAGCUCUCAUCCAUCUGUAUCGAUGCAGUGUCCCAGACAGGUCUUACACUGACACAUGUAACCGUGCUGACGCAUGUCCCAGACAUGUCUUACACUAGCACAUCUCGUAGCCGACGCAUGUCCCAGACAUGUCUGACAUUGGCUAACAUCUCGAGGUCGAUGCAUGUCCCAGACAUGUCUUACACUGGCUCUCAUACUGUGGCUGAUGCAUGUUCCAGACAUGUCUUACACUAGCCCUCGUCUCAAUGCCGAUGCCAUGUCCCAUACAUGGUCUUACACUGGCACACAAAUCUCAUGUAUUGCCAUGGUCCAACCAUGGUCUUUUCCGUCAAUUCAUUAGUGAACGAUCGUACUCAUUCCCUGCGUUCCACCCAAUUUGAUCUUUCAUUACAACUUUCAUGCUAUUGUGACAUUUAUGAUUCUGUAACUGAGAUUAUAAAGCAUAACAUUACUGCAUAUUGACUUCAUCAAUCUAAACAUAAAUGUCAACCUCAUGUAUAUACUGAUUAUUAAUCAUGCAACAAAAGCAUUCAUAUAUACUGAUUAUUAAUCAUGCAACAAAAGCAUUCAUACAUACAUUCUGUCAUUUCAAGCAAAUUUCUUUCUUUUCCUAAACACUUGGCCAAAUCAAGUUGGACAUUUAACAUCGUAUGAAUACUAACAUGCAUAAAAGCGUUUUUUCACAACUUAACUGUGUUUUACUCCACUAUUUCACAUUCUUUAUCUCAAGAGUAUCACAUAAUGAAAACUAGUUCAUAUAAAAAAAAUUAUGGAUUUCUUUUCAUACCUUUCCCAAUUUUCAGUAUAUCAUAAGCAUGAUUCAAUAAUCUCAACUUUACUCUUAUCUCUAUCAAGAUUUGCUCGGUUGGAACUCAUUCAUGUCUUAAUCAACAGUUUUGUUAGGGCCGAAAGAUAUCACACUAUCACGAGUAAUACUAUGGCAUGUAUAGCUAGACUCUCUUACGCUAGGUUAGCCCGAGAACCGACUAAACCAUGCUCUGAUACCACUAAAUGUAACACCCCUCGCCCGCAUCCGACGCCGGGACGGGGUUCAAGGUGCUACCUGACUUUUACUAACACUUUCAUACUAAACAGGGCCAUGAAAUCUCAAAUAGUUAAAAACUUUUCUUUUCACAUAUAAUAUGUCUCAUAUACGGGCUUACGAGGCCCAAAACAUACAUCUGGAGUGGUUCAGGACCCAAUCUAGAACUCAUGAAAAACUUAAAAAAAUCUCUUGCGUUAAGGCUUCAAACGCCUAUAUGCUCAGGCCGUGUGGCCAGAAAUAGGCUAAUUAUUAAGCCUUUUAGCACUCUCACACCAUAUGCAUAGAUACAUACUUAUCCAAUAACAUACAACGUGACAUAAAUGAGCUCUUAAACAUCUACAAACAUGUUAUGCUCAAGUUAUUUUCUUAUGCAAUAAAUAUUAUAGAAUUUGCCUAUAUCAUUACCACAUACUAGACAUAACUAUCAUUACAUCACAAACCAUUCAUGAAGCAUUAUUAACUAUUUACCAAUCACUUAAUCCUGCAUUAGUUACUAGCUCAUCAAUGAAUCUCAAUUCAAUCUCUAGGCAUACAUGUUGUAAGCCACAUCACAAGAAAUAAUAACAUAAAUGCAUAAGAAUAAUCAUAUGGGCCCAUAACGAUAUUAGCCGACAUAGGCCAAUUUACAUAACUAAUACUACCUUAAUAACAAGCCAAUGCCUUUGGCUAAAUCAUAAUAUUACAUACUCACAUUAAAACCCUAUACAUGCCAUAGACUCGAAUCACUUGAGUUUACUUACUCCGAUAACGUUAACUCGAUAGGGUGAUAAUAUCUCUGACGGCCUCCAACCCGAGCUAACCUGGAUACUCUAAAAAACAUGGGAAAGAAAGGGGGUAAGCUUUCGCUUAGUAAGUUCAUAUGAAAACAAUAAGCAACUCAUUAACUUGUUUUAUCAAUGUUUACAACAUAUUCUCAAGUUCACUACAAGUUGUCUUCCUGAGCAACAGUCACUAAAUUAUUUAUAUCUGGAGCUACGAAACUAUGAAUUAAGUUUUGUUAAUUU